rnacentral:lncRNA from 1 species
UCAGAUCUACGCAAUAAACAUCGAAAAAGUAAAGAUUGACACUUUUUCAUCAAAACUCUCAAGAACACAAAGUUCUUGAGUUUAAUCCAUUAGAAAGCUCGUUUUAACCAUUAUUUCCGUUCAUUAAUCAUGUUACAAGCAUGUUAAACAUAUUAAGAACCUUAGGAACGAUUUCCAUCAAGAAAAUCCAUUCCAAUCUAAAACGAAAAUGGGG